rnacentral:rRNA from 1 species
ACGAGUUUUUCGGAACUUUAGUAGAGUGGCGCACGGGUGAGUAACGCGUGGGAACCUACCUUUUAGUACGGGACAACGUUUGGAAACGAACGCUAAUACCGUAUACGCCCUCCGGGGGAAAGGUCAGCCGCUAAAAGAGGGGCCCGCGUCUGAUUAGCUUGUUGGUAAGGUAAUGGCUUACCAAGGCGACGAUCAGUAGCUGGUCUGAGAGGAUGAUC